UAAACUCCUUAAAUGGUUGAUCUUCCUUCUUUCCUUUUUGCCAUUUCUCAAUCAAACACACACAAAAAGGUUCUUUCUUUUAGCUGAGUUGGGUUGAUUGCGUAGAAAGAAGCAAUGGAAAAGGUAAGAGAUUUGAAGGAAAGGUGAGAAAUUGUGACAGCUUCCACUAAAGGAUUGGCCUUGCCAUGCACAGAGGCUUGGUUAGGAGAGUGCAUCUAUUGUCAUCUCUUCCAGCAAUAGGUUCAAUUUUCUGUUUCUAAGCUCUGUUCUGAUGAAGUUGAAGUUAAAGUCUUCAUCUUUUUCUCUUUUUUUUGGUUUAAAAAUAAAUCAUUUGUCUGUAUUUGGAUCACAAUAGUUAAGAUUUUUUUUUCCUUUUCAUUUCUUUGACUCAUCUUUCUAAGGAGAGAAUAAUUUUAGUAAAAUUAUUUGUUAAAUAAUAAGUCUUUCUAUAAAUCUACUUGUAAAAACUUUAGAUAGAAAAAAAAAACAAAUAUUUUGUAUAAGCUACAAAUAACUUGAAUAACCUUAUUUGUAUUUUUUAUAUUGGUUUUUUAAAAAUAUUCUAAUUUAUAUAUAAUAUAAUUUUAGUGUACAAGAAAGUUUAUUUAUUUAAAUUUUCCCUAACAAUAGUUGGUAUAAGAAUCAUGUUGGAAGAAAAUCAUUAUAAUGUUUUUGUAGUAAAUAUGCUUGAACAAAAAGUUUAUGCAAAAUUAUAGAAAUUUAUGGAAAUAUUUUGAUUAUCUAAAAUUAUAUAAUUUUAUGUUUUUAAAAAAAUAAAAUUUAAAAUUCUUCCUGCUGUUUUUUUUUUAUCUUUACAUGUCAUGAUAUUCACUACUUAACAUGGAUUUAAAGUAAAUUUUUGGAGAAACUUUUCUAUAAGAAAUUUUAAGAAGAAAAACAAUAAUUAAUUUUUUUAUAAAAUUAAAACUAUUUUAUGUAUAAGUUUUUUUUAUAAGUUUUUUAUUUUUUAAAUUUGUACAUAAACUAAUAUUAACAUAGGACUAAGUUUACCCUAUUUUUUCAAAUCUAGAAGUAAUUACCAAAAAGUUUAUCAUGAACUUUAUCUAACAAAUAUGGAAUUAAAAUCCGAAUCACCUUGACAAGUUUGUACAAAUUUGUACGAAUAAUAUCAUAUCAAUCUAAUAACAUUAAAUUAAAAAAAUCAUUUGCGACUAAAAGUCAUAUAUCCUAUUUCAUAAAUAUUCUAUAUCAAUUAUUUACUGAAGUGUGUUAAUAAUUCUACUACUAAUAUUUUAGCUAAAUUUUUAAAAAAAAAAUACUUAGCUUUUGUCACACUAAUAAUGAUUAUAUUAAAGUCUAUAUAAUAGCAUUCUUAUAAAAAGGAGUAAUAUUUCAUAUUUAUUUUCACUUUCUACAUUACAACUACUCAAUUUCUUUAAGAGAGAGGAGAGUUUAUAGCUUGAAUGCCAUUUUUGAAAGCUAAAUUUUGUUGUUGUUUGGAGCUUGGUGCAAGAGUUUUACCCUUCCAACAACUUAUAUAGAUACACUUUGUUUUUCUUUUCUAUAAGUGCAUUUGGUGUUUAUCAUAGAAUCUUGGUAAUUAACACAGAAUGUUGUGAUGAAGGUGAAAAACCUUUGGCCUCACUAUUUGCAACCGAUAUAGUCCACUGCAAAUAAAUUCUUAAUUACUACCAAACAGUUUUGAGCUAUUCAAGAAAAAGAACAAGACUGAAUCAAAAUAGUCAAAAUAUAAAACCUGAACAUAAUGUUCAGGGAAAAAACCAAUCUCCUACUUCAAACACUCUUCAUUUUUAGAGCUUAAACAUAAUGAUUUAGAUAAACAUAAUGAUUUUCUUUAAACAACUCACUAGAAACACACACAAAAAGGGGGAAAAAUUGAUCUCUACUAUGUGUGAUGGUAUUAAUUUGUGCCUUAACUUACAGGUUACUUCAUCCUUUCACAUCCUAUCCUAUAAGCACAAGAAUGAGAAC
rnacentral:lncRNA from 1 species